rnacentral:rRNA from 1 species
GACGAACCGUGCGAACGUUGUUCGGAAUCACUGGGCUUAAAGGGCGUGUAGGCGGCUUCUUAAGUCAGACGUGAAAUCCCCCGGCUUAACCUGGGAACUGCGUCUGAUACUGGGAAGCUAGAGUUCGGGAGAGGGAUGUAGAAUUCCAGGUGUAGCGGUGAAAUGCGUAGAUAUCUGGAGGAAUACCGGUGGCGAAGGCGGCAUCCUGGACCGAAACUGACGCUUAAGCGCGAAAGCUAGGGGAGCAAACGGG